CGGGGGAUAACUAUUGGAAACGAUAGCUAAUACCGCAUAAGAGAGACUAACGCAUGUUAGUAAUUUAAAAGGGGCAAUUGCUCCACUAUGAGAUGGACCUGCGUUGUAUUAGCUAGUUGGUGAGGUAAAGGCUCACCAAGGCGACGAUACAUAGCCGACCUGAGAGGGUGAUCGGCCACACUGGGACUGAGACACGGCCCAG
rnacentral:rRNA from 1 species